UAUAGUUUCUUCUUCUUCAACCUUCCAUUUUCAUUCCUUUUCUCAACCAAACAAAGAAUUUAAUUCAUUUCCAUUUCUUUGAGUCUAUUUCCUCCUACCAAACACACCCUUAAAUUCAAUCUUUCAUUCCAUCAAAACUCCGACUUAUAUCAAGAAUUCAUAAGAAAUAAAUAAUAAUUAUAACAAAUCCAAAUCUCAAAAAAUCAAUUUGGGGAUUUGAGUGUGGGAGGUGUGAGGGCCAAAAAUCAGGGAGAUGAAGAGAAGAAGAUUGGAAGUUUUGGGAGCCGGAACAAGUGAUAUGUAUAGGAAGUUGAAGUGCUUGUUUUGGAGGUAUUGGCCAUUUCACGCGAAAGGGCCUUUUGUAGUUACUUAGAUGAAUCUCACGUCAAACUAAAAGCUCUUGGUAUAAGUAUUGGUCUUGAAUAUGUUGUUUAUGUCUAAUGUCAACUUAUGCACUUGAAUUUUAAGUACAACAGUAUUUUGAAGAGAAAUGGGUAUGGUAGUUUGACAAUGUGGUAAA